rnacentral:lncRNA from 1 species
AUGAGCUCCCCAGACGAUGAGGUGUUUGUUUGGGGAGGGGGUUCUGGCUCAGAGUGUGGGGAGCAGACCAGCGGCCUUGAGGCUGGCUCCCCAGCCCCACGGGGUCCCGGCCCCGACCCCGGCCCCGAGCCAGGGGCACAGCGAAGCGGCGAGGGUGAGGGCGGGGAUGGCUUCCCAGACUCUGAGGGCUUCGAGUUGGAGCGGGCGGUGCUGGAAGCGGGAGGGCCGGUGCUGUUGGGCCGCGAAGGCCGGCCUGGUUCUCCGGCCGACGACACGGGGUACGCCGUGCAGCUGUCUGACGAGUCAGUGGCGGCCAUCCUGCAGCAGCUGGCCGACCUGGACUUGCUGGGCAUCCGCAGACACAUGUCCCCGGAGAGAUACGCGGUCGGCGAAGUGUCUGCCUUGCGGGACCUCGAGGCGCGUCCCAGCACUCGAGGCGCGGCCGCCCAGAGGUGUGGGGAAGCGGCACAGGCUGAGGCCGGCCCUCUGUGCGUCGGCGGGCCCAGGGCAGGCCGGGCCUGGGGGAACCCUAAGAGAGGCACUAAGAGUAGGUUGAACAUGGCUGUGGAUCGCCAGUGGCCCCCCUCAGGAAGCCUAGCCGGGCUGCUCUCCGACUCCGAGUCCUCUGAUGAGUGCAGUGAGAUACAGCCUAUGAGAGUGAGCAUUUAUCCCAAAGACGGAGGCCAGGCCAAGCUGAACAGCCCCAAGGAUCCCGGGGACACACCCAGACACUCGAAUGUCCAAGGCAGGGAGAAUCUCCUUGACGUGCCAGGCACUUGCCUGUCCUCAGCUCCGCGAGGAUUGAUUUCGGUUGUGGAAAGGCAGGGCAGGCAGGGCGAUGCAGACCAGGAGGACAUCUCCCCCCCUAAGAAAAUGCAGAGUGUGCUCCGGGGGAAGGGGGGCAGCCUGCCCAGCUACCCGGGAGUAGCAGCAGCAGCAGCAGCUCCCGCAGCUGCCACUACAGCCAGGCUGCCGCGGCCCAGUCCUAGGAGGAAGAGGGUCCAGGAGAAGAAAUCCUUUGGGGGCGUCUCCAAACCUGCCCUGGGGAGAACCUUCCCUUCCUGGGGGCGGGGAAUCUCGGCCACUCCCCUGGAUCCGGCCACCUUCCCCCCAAUCUUCGGCAUCCCGCUGCUUGGGAGGUCCAAGAAGUAUGCCUUGGUCCCUUGGGGAGCCAAAGAGUCCAAGCACACCGGCGCUGGGAAGAAGCCCGUGGCUAGGCGGGCCCGGGACUCGGUGGCAGCAGUGGCGGUGUCGGGAGAAGACAACGACCCAAAUAGAGACCCAGUCACAAAGGGCCAAGUGAGUAGGCCAGGCCCCUCCUCUCUCCCCACUCUUGCCCCUGCCACCCUCCCCAGGACACAUGUCUUCACCCCGUGCUCCCCUUCUCCAUCCCUCAGGGGUCGUCAUUGGGUGGCCCUCGGUCACUGGGUCAUUAGGAUGCCAGGUUGGGGUCCUUUUCCUAGGGACAAAUGUGAAGGUAGCACUUUGGGUGUGCUGGGCUCGGUUCUCCACCCUUGGCCUCUUUCCAGCCUCCUCCACGAGGCUGGGGCUGGCGUGGAAAGCAGGGCUGGUAGCUGA